GAGGGGCGCUUCCGAUCUCUCCCUCCUCCCUCGCCCGCUCGUCGCUGUGCGUGCCUACGUACGUGCGUACGCCCUAUGGGGAACUGCAGGGGCGCUCCGUGACGACACCACGUCAACGCUGACGCUCCGACGUCCGUUCCGAUAAAUAUGCAAAUAUACGGCGAAACCCCCUUCCCAAGCCUGCCCUGCUCCCUGCUCCACCAGCCCGUCUGCUGAUCGCCCUUCAUUUGAUCCUGCUCCCUCCUCCUCAGCCCUGACCUGGAGAAUGCUGUUUACCUUGAAACUCUGAAACGCUCUGUCCUGCUCGCUCUCUCCCCUAUAGGACCGGGGGCUUCCCAAAGGCAAAAGGGACCACUCAGCAUUCGUUAAUCUACUGGUCCCCUCCUCUAGGAGGCACUUUCUGACCCCCAGACCGGGUCUGAUGCCUUCUUGGGUUCCCCCAGCGCCUGGGCUCCCCGUCUGAGCCCUGCCCACUCUGGGUCAUCACUAUCCAGGGACAGAUCUGUCUCCCCCAGUGGAGUGGGAGCCAUGAGGGCAGGGCCAGCACUGUCAUUUGUCACCGCUGGGUCACUAGCACCACCCAGCGCAGGGCUAGGCACAG